GAUCAGCACUGUUGGGGCAGAUAAAUUCUGUAACGGAACUCCCAACUGGAAGACUUGCAAAGGUGAUUCCCUUUCC
rnacentral:ncRNA from 1 species